rnacentral:rRNA from 1 species
AACGAACGCUGGCGGCAUGCCUAACACAUGCAAGUCGAACGAGACCUUCGGGUCUAGUGGCGCACGGGUUCGUAACGCGUGGGAACCUUCCCUUAGGUUCGGAAUACCUCCCCGAAAGGGGUGCUAAUACCGGAUAAUGUCUUCGGACCAAGGAUUUAUCGCCUUUGGAUGGGCCCGCGUUGGAUUAGCUAGUUGGUAGGGUAAAAGCCUACCAAGGCGACGAUCCGUAGCUGGUCUGAGAGGAUGAUCAGCCACACUGGGACUGAGACACGGCUCAGACUCCUACGGGAGGCAGCAGUGGGGAAUAUUGGACAAUGGGCGAAAGCCUGAUCCAGCAAUGCCGCGUGAGUGAUGAAGGCCUUAGGGUUGUAAAGCUCUUUUACCCGGGAUGAUAAUGACAGUACCGGGAGAAUAAGCUCCGGCUAACUCCGUG